CCCCGGAGGGGCGGGGCUUAGGUCCGGGCUCCCCACUCCCAGGACCCGGAAGAGCGUGCGGGCCAACUACUCCCUCCUCCCUGCUAGGCCCCCAGGGCCGGGUGCUGCCUUCCUGGGCUGGCGGCGGAGGACACCCCACCCCCACUCCCAGGAGAUCCGGAGUGUCCGCCAGUUUCGCUCUUAUUGCCCAGGCUGGAGUGCAAUGGCGCAAUCUCAGCUCACUGCAACCUACCCUGAGUUCAAGUGAUUCUCCUGUCUCAGCCUCCCAGGUAGCUCGGAUUACAGAUGGAACAGUACAUCUAUAAAACGAAGAGUGAUGGCAUCUACAUCAUAACUCUUAAAGAGGACCUGGGAGAAGUUUCUGCUGGCAGCUUGUGUCACUGUUGCCAUUGAAAAUUCUGCUGAUGUCAGCGUUACUAUAUUCUCCAGGAAUACUGGCCAGAGGGUGGUGCUGAAGUCUGCGGCUACCACUGGAGCUACUCCAAUUGCUGGCCACUUCACUCCUGGAACCUUCACUAACCAGAUUCAGGCAGGCUCCCAGGAGCCACAGCUUCUUGUGGUUACUGACCCCAGGGCUGACCACCAGCCUCUUAUGGAGGCAUCUUAUGUUAACCUACCUACUAUUGCUCUGUGUAACACAGAUUCUCCUCUGGGCUAUGUGGACAUUGCUAUCCCAAGCAAAAAGCUCACUCACUCAGUAGUUUGAUGUGGUGAAUGCUGGCUUGGGAAGUUCUGUGCAUGCGUGGCACCAUUUCCCAUGAACACCCAUGGGAGGUCUACUUCUACAGAGAUCCUUAAGAGAUUGAGGCUGUGACCAAGGAGGAAUUUCAGGGCAAAUGGACUGCUCCAGGUCCUGAGUUCACUAUAACUCAGCCUGAGGUUGCAGACUUGUCUGAAGGUAUGCAGGUGACCUCUGUGCCUGUUCAGCAGUUUCCUACUGAAGACUGGAGCACUCAGCCUGCCACGGAAGACUGGUCUGCAGCUCCCACUGCUCAGGCCACUGAAUAGGUAGGAGCAACCACUGAAUGGUCUUAAACUGUUCUUGCACAGGCUCUUAAGCACAUGGAAAAAAGGUUAAUGGAAAAUAAACAUUAGUUUCU